rnacentral:rRNA from 1 species
GAUGAACGCUGGCGGCGUGCUUAACACAUGCAAGUCGAGCGAAGCACUUAUGAAGAUUCUUCGGAUGAAUCAUUUGUGACUGAGCGGCGGACGGGUGAGUAACGCGUGAGUAACCUGCCUUAUACAGGGGAAUAACAGUUAGAAAUGACUGCUAAUGCCGCAUCAGCGCACAGGACCGCAUGGUCCGGUGUGAAAAACUCCGGUGGUAUGAGAUGGCCUGGCGUCUGAUUAGCUGGUUGGUGAGGUAACGGCCCACCAAGGCGACGAUCAGUAGCCGGCCUGAGAGGGUGAACGGCCACAUUGGGACUGAGACACGGCCCAAACUCCUACGGGAGGCAGCAGUGGGGAAUAUUGCACAAUGGGGGAAACCCUGAUGCAGCGACGCCGCGUGAGUGAAGAAGUAUUUCGGUAUGUAAAGCUCUAUCAGCAGGGAAGAAAAUGACGGUACCUGACUAAGAAGCCCCGGCUAACUACGUGCCAGCCGCCGCCGUAA